rnacentral:lncRNA from 1 species
CAAAACCUAAAUAAAGUAAUUCGAAAAAUUAAUCAGGAAUAACACGAUGUUUUGAUUUAUAUCAAUAAUAUAAAUCAAAACCUAAAGGUUAUUCCUGAUUAAUUUUUCGAUUUUUUAAUUAUUAAAGGCGUUAAGAACCUUUGGUGACCCCACAGUUUAAAUUCUAUAAUAAGUACAUACGGCCUAGCCACAAUCAGAUGUGCAUUUUGUGUUUCACAUGAAGUCAAAAAUGAGUAUCACCUCAGGGAAAAACUCUUUUGAUAUUUUGGUUCAAAAAUGGUUUAAAUUAUGAAAAAUUGCCAUCGUUAGGCUAACACUGGAAGCAUUUAUAUAAUUACAUGCAGUUUUUGGAAGAAUUAUUUAAUAUUUUUAUUAAAUAAAUGGUGUUUAAAAACUGUAUAAUUCUCUUUAAUGGUUGCCUUCAAGACAUGGUCACCAGUGUCAGAUUUUUGGUCAAUGACAAAGACAACAAAAUAUGUUUAGAAUUAUUGAAUAUCAAACAUUUUAAUUGAAAAAAAAAUGACAAGAACAUGUUUAACUCACAGUUAUUUCAAACAACAGUAGCUUUCUUUGAUCAUUAAUCUUAUCUGAUAAAACUGUAUCUAAACUUAUCUAUAAAUAACAAAACUUC